rnacentral:rRNA from 1 species
CUGCGGCGUGCUACCAUGCAAGUCGUACGAGAAAUCCUGGGCAACUGGGAGAGUAAAGUGGCGCACGGGUGAGUAACGCGUGGGUAACCUACCCUUGAAUUGGGGAUAACUCUUCGAAAGGGGAGUUAAUACCGAAUAAUAUUCCAGUUCCUUCGGGGGUUGGAAUAAAAGGUGGCCUCUGCAUGCAAGCUAUCGUUUAAGGAUGGGCCCGCGUACCAUUAGCUAGUUGGUAGGGUAAUGGCCUACCAAGGCAGCGAUGGUUAGCUGGUCUGAGAGGAUGGCCAGCCACACUGGAACUGAGAUACGGUCCAGACUCCUACGGGAGGCAGCAGUGGGGAAUCUUGCGCAAUGGGGGAAACCCUGACGCAGCAACGCCGCGUGGGUGAUGAAGGCCUUCGGGUCGUAAAGCCCUGUCAGGUGGGAAGAAACUUGUGGAUGUUAAUACCGUCCACACUUGACGGUACCACCGGAGGAAGCACCGGCUAACUCCGUGCCAGCAGCCGCGGUAAUACGGAGGGUGCAAGCGUUGUUCGGAAUUAUUGGGCGUAAAGCGCGUGUAGGUGGUCAGGUAAGUCAGAUGUGAAAGCCUUCUGCUUAACAGAAGAAGUGCAUUUGAAACUGCUUGGCUAGAGUACGGGAGAGGAGAGUGGAAUUCCCGGUGUAGAGGUGAAAUUCGUAGAUAUCGGGAGGAACACCAGUGGCGAAGGCGGCUCUCUGGUCCGAUACUGACGCUGAGACGCGAAAGCGUGGGGAGCAAACAGGAUUAGAUACCCUGGUAGUCCACGCCGUAACGAUGGGCACUAAGGUGUAAGGAGGUAUU